ACGGAAGGCAGCAGUGGGGAAUAUUGCACAAUGGGGGAAACCCUGAUGCAGCGACGCCGCGUGAGUGAAGAAGUAUUUCGGUAUGUAAAGCUCUAUCAGCGGGAAAGAAAAUGACGGUACCUGACUAAGAAGCCCCGGCUAACUACGUGCCAGCAGCCGCGGUAAUACGUAGGGGGCAAGCGUUAUCCGGAUUUACUGGGUGUAAAGGGAGCGUAGACGGCUUUGCAAGUCUGAAGUGAAAGCCCGGGGCUCAACCCCGGAACUGCUUUGGAAACUGUAGAGCUAGAGUGCAGGAGAGGUAAGUGGAAUUCCUAGUGUAGCGGUGAAAUGCGUAGAUAUUAGGAGGAACACCAGUGGCGAAGGCGGCUUACUGGACUGUAACUGACGUUGAGGCUCGAAGGCGUGGGGAGCAAACAGGAUUAGAUACCCUGGUA
rnacentral:rRNA from 1 species